rnacentral:rRNA from 1 species
GAUGAACGCUGGCGGCGUGCCUAAUACAUGCAAGUCGAGCGAAUGGAUUAAGAGCUUGCUCUUAUGAAGUUAGCGGCGGACGGGUGAGUAACACGUGGGUAACCUGCCCAUAAGACUGGGAUAACUCCGGGAAACCGGGGCUAAUACCGGAUAACAUUUUGAACCGCAUGGUUCGAAAUUGAAAGGCGGCUUCGGCUGUCACUUAUGGAUGGACCCGCGUCGCAUUAGCUAGUUGGUGGGGUAACGGCUCACCAAGGCAACGAUGCGUAGCCGACCGGAGAGGGUGAUCGGCAACACUGGGACUGAGACACGGCCCAGGCUCAUACGGGAGGCAGCAGUAGGGAAUCUUCCGCAAUGGACGAAAGUCUGACGGAGCAACGCCGCGUGAGUGAUGAAGGCUUUCGGGUCGUAAAACUCUGUUGUUGGGGAAGAACAAGUGCUAGUUGAAUAAGCUGGCACCUUGACGGUACCUAACCAGAAAGCCACGGCUAACUACGUGCCAGCCGCCGCCGUAA